AUGUGGGAGGAAUGCUUGCCUCAUAUUGAAUUUGCUUAUAAUCGUUCAUUGCAUUCUACUACUAAGAUGUGCCCUUUUGAAGUUGUGUAUGGUUUCCUACCUCGUGCACCUAUUGAUUUGUUGCCUCUUCCAUCUUCGGAGAAGGUUAAUUUUGAUGCUAAACAACGUGCUGAAUUGAUUUUAAAAAUGCAUGAGUUAACUAAGGAAAACAUUGAGCGCAUGAAUGCUAAAUAUAAACUUGCUGGAGAUAAGGGUAGAAAACAUGUUGUAUUUGCACCUGGAGAUCUUGUUUGGUUACAUUUGCGUAAGGAUAGAUUUCCUGAUUUGCGCAAAUCAAAGUUAAUGCCACGUGCUGAUGGUCCCUUUAAGGUGUUAGAGAAAAUAAAUGAUAAUGCAUAUAAACUUGAGCUGCCUGCAGAUUUUGGGGUUAGUCCCACUUUUAACAUUGCAGAUUUGAAGCCUUAUUUGGGUGAGGAAGAUGAACUUCCGUCGAGGACGACUUCAUUUCAAGAAGGGGAGGAUGAUGAGGACAUCAAUACAAUUGUUACACCCACAGCCCCUGCUGCUAUACAUACUGGACCAAUUACUAGAGCUCGUGCACGCCAACUAAAUUACCAGGAAACAGACCCUCGUGGUCAGGUUGAUCGUGCUCCGGCGUGGUCAAUAACCUCUCGGAGUUGGUUUAGCGAUUGCUAA
rnacentral:rRNA from 1 species